rnacentral:rRNA from 1 species
CCCUUAGAUGUUCUGGGCCGCACGCGCGCUACACUGACGAAGUCAGCGAGCAUGUCCUACGCCGACAGGUGCGGGGAAUCUUGUCAAACUUCGUCGUGAUGGGGAUUGAUUAUUGAAAUUCUUGAUCAUCAACGAGGAAUUCCUAGUAAGCGCAAGUCAGCAGCUUGCGUUGAUUACGUCCCUGCCCUUUGUACACACCGCCCGUCGCUACUACCGAUUGAAUGGUUUAGUGAGAUCUUCGGAUUGGCGCCACUGCGGCUCAGCAAUGGGCUCGGUGGAUGCCGAAAAGUUGAUCAAUCUUGAUCAUUUAGAGGAAGUAAAAGUCGUAACA